ensembl:lncRNA
CUCAGGCCCAUCACCAGCUGUUUUUGUUUGCUUGUUUUCACCGAAUUUCUGGCAGUGCAGGCCCUGUCCUCACAUGAAUUCUAUGUGUUCUUCUCUGACGGGGACAUUGAGGGGCAAACAGAGUGGGAGAGGCAGGAUGAGACGGUUCUUGCAAGACCGCGGACACCAGGGAGAACCUGCACAUCCACAGAGAAAUCCCAGCUUCCCCUGAGUAGGAACAACAGAAACAGCAGCAGAGGAAGCUUCCACGGGAUGAAUGUGAUACACACUGUGCAGAACGGAGCCCGUUGACUGAUCAUAAAGGGCAAACCACAGCUUCACUCUGGGGAACCCCGGGGCAUGCCGAGUUUGCCUGCAAUCACCGAUAAGCAGAAGCAAGGACAGCGGGCUUGGCUGGCACUCCGCCCCCGUGCACAGCCCGCAUCUGACUCCGGUGCUGUGUGCACCUCCUUUCUCGGCGGCUCCCCCUUCCUCAGCGGCCAGGCACCGCUCUCAUCACCCCUGUGAGGGGAGGAGCCCCGGGUCUCUGGUCGUGAGACUGAUGGAAACUUCACUGAGUCCAGACAGGCGGCCCUGAGCCGGAGACUCGAGAUGAACACGAGCCGUUCAAGACCAGGAGGGGCUCAGACCUUGGGCAGGAGCUGCUGAUCUGACUGUCCAGCCCUAAGCCUGGCAUCGGGCUCUCAUCUCCUGAUGGCGCAUUUGGACCAUGCCUGGAGCACACGUCUGGGUUUAUGAUGGGCAGAAAUUGUUCGCUGAACAAAAAGGAUUCUUACAUCUUCUGUGGGAUGGCCUUGGAGACUGACCUGUAGGGGAAGAGCUGCUCUGCUUCCGGUGAACAUUUCAGCAUUGAAACACAUGCUGGGGGUGACGGGCACCUGCCCAAGUCAUCCUCGUGGUCAGCGUGGCCUCCCAGGCUCUGCCGUCCUCUGCUCAGUCCAGGGCGGGCAGGAGAGUCGCUGUGAUUUCAGCACCCGUCACCCUGCUCAGCCCCCCUCCACGCGGAAGGAGAGCGAGUCAUAGGUCCAUUAUCAUCAUUCAGUUACUUGAGAGUGAGCCUUGAGUUUCCCUUUCAGAUCCCCUAACACGCCUUCUCGGUGGUGGAGGUGGGGAGACAGUCCUGGAUCAUCCGGGGAACAGGGGUCACCACCAAGGUCUUUAUGCGUGAGACAAGGAGGCAGGGAACACACAGCCAGGGCACAUGUGACUUGAAAGCGGACGCUGGAGAGCUGUGACUGCCGGCUUUGAAGAUGG